UACGUAGGGGGCAAGCGUUGUCCGGAUUUAUUGGGCGUAAAGAGCGUGUAGGCGGCCAUACAGGUCAGCUGUGAAAACUCGAGGCUCAACCUCGAGACGUCGGUUGAAACCGUUUGGCUAGAGUCCGGAAGAGGAGGGUGGAAUUCCCGGUGUAGCGGUGAAAUGCGCAGAUAUCGGGAAGAACACCCGUGGCGAAGGCGGCUCUCUGGGACGGUACUGACGCUGAGACGCGAAAGCGUGGGGAGCGAACAGG
rnacentral:rRNA from 1 species